UACGGGGGGGGCAAGCGUUGUUCGGAAUUACUGGGCGUAAAGGGCUCGUAGGCGGCCAACUAAGUCGGAUGUGAAAUCCCCAGGCUUAACCUGGGAACUGCAUCCGAUACUGGAUGGCUUGAAUCCGGGAGAGGGAUGCAGAAUUCCAGGUGUAGCGGUGAAAUGCGUAGAUAUCAGGAGGAACACCAAUAGCGAAGGCAGCUCGCUGGGACGGUACUGACGCUAAGGCGCGAAAGCGUGGGGAGCGAACAGG
rnacentral:rRNA from 1 species